rnacentral:tRNA from 1 species
GGGGCCGUCGUCUAGCUUGGUAGGAUGCCAGCCUGGGGAGGAACCCCGAUAUGACAAAACCUGGAACGCUGGUGGUCCCGGGUUCAAAUCCCGGCGGCCCCA